GCCCGGGUGGUGGAAUGGUAUACACGGGGGUCUUAAAAACCCCUGCCGCAAGGCUUGCGGGUUCGAAUCCCGCCCCGGGCA
rfam:Chthonomonas calidirosea T49 complete genome